rnacentral:rRNA from 1 species
UACAGAGGUGGCAAGCGUUGUUCGGAAUUACUGGGCGUAAAGGGCGCGUAGGCGGCCUUCUAGGUCAGACGUGAAAUCCCCCGGCUUAACCUGGGAACUGCGUCUGAUACUGGGAGGCUAGAGUAUGGGAGAGGGAUGUAGAAUUCCAGGUGUAGCGGUGAAAUGCGUAGAUAUCUGGAGGAAUACCGGUGGCGAAGGCGGCAUCCUGGACCAUUACUGACGCUGAAUCGCGAAAGCUAGGGGAGCAAACGGG